GAAAUGCGAUAAGUAGUGUGAAUUGCAGAAUUCAGUGAAUCAUCGAAUCUUUGAACGCACAUUGCGCUCUCUGGUAUUCCGGGGAGCAUGCCCGUUUCAGUAUCAUCAAAACCCAUCAUGAAAGAUCCUAGCUUCGGCGAGGAACUUUUCAUGGAGAUGGGUGCCGCUGCGCGCUCCGUUCGUUGCAGGCACCUAAAAGGCAGGGGGUGUUGGAUUCUGCCAGAAUCCUUGACUUUGACGCUCUCAGCGCAACAGAUUGUGUUCUAUUCGCUUUGAGGUCGAAGCAGGGUGGGCUUCGAACAUACCGGCACACGAUGGAGAUCACCCGGCAGGUUGCCACACCUGCCGCAAACUUGGUCUGAAAUCGGGCAAGAGAACCCGCUGAACUUAA
rnacentral:misc_RNA from 1 species